GAGUUUGAUUCUGGCUCAGAACGAACGCUGGCGGCGCGUCUUAAGCAUGCAAGUCGAACGGCAAGAAAGGAGCUUGCUCCUUUCCUAGAGUGGCGGACUGGUGAGGAACACGUGGGUAAUCUACCCUUGAGAUGGGGAUAGCCGUUAGAAAUAGCGGGUAAUACCGAAUACACUUAUUAUUUCACAAGAGAUAGUAAGGAAAGGAAGCUACGGCUUCGCUCGAGGAUGAGCCUGCGUCCCAUUAGCUAGUUGGUGAGGUAACGGCUCACCAAGGCAACGAUGGGUAUCCGGCCUGAGAGGGUGAUCGGACACAUUGGGACUGAGAUACGGCCCAAACUCCUACGGGAGGCAGCAGCUAAGAAUAUUCCGCAAUGGACGGAAGUCUGACGGAGCGACGCCGCGUGGAUGAAGAAGGCUGAAAAGUUGUAAAAUCCUUUUGUUGAUGAAGAAUAAGGAUAAGAGGGAAUGCUUAUC
rnacentral:rRNA from 1 species